AGCGGAGAUAGCACACUUUGAAUGCACCAGUUCCCCACGGAUCACUGAAAUUAAGCAACGUUGCGCGUGGUUAGUACCUGGAUGGUGACCAUCUAGGGACCAUCUGGGUUCCCGGCUC
rnacentral:rRNA from 1 species